rnacentral:rRNA from 1 species
AGGAAUAUUGGGCAAUGGACGAAAGUCUGACCCAGCCAUGCCGCGUGAAGGAUGACGGCCCUACGGGUUGUAAACUUCUUUUCUCUGGGGCGAAAACCUCCUAAUCUUAGGAAUUUGACAGUACCAGAGGAAUAAGCACCGGCUAACUCCGUGCCAGCAGCCGCGGUAAUACGGAGGGUGCAAGCGUUAUCCGGAUUCACUGGGUUUAAAGGGUGCGUAGGUGGGUCUGUAAGUCAGUGGUGAAAUCCCCGAGCUCAACUUGGGAACUGCCGUUGAUACUAUAGGUCUUGAAUGUCGUGGAGGUAAGCGGAAUAUGUCAUGUAGCGGUGAAAUGCUUAGAUAUGACGUAGAACACCAAUUGCGUAGGCAGCUUACUACACGAAUAUUGACACUGAGGCACGAAAGCGUGGGGAGCAAACAGGAUUAGAUACCC